rnacentral:rRNA from 1 species
UGGGGAAUCUUGGACAAUGGGCGCAAGCCUGAUCCAGCCAUGCCGCGUGAGUGAUGAAGGCCUUAGGGUUGUAAAGCUCUUUUGCCGGGGACGAUAAUGACGGUACCCGGAGAAUAAGUCCCGGCUAACUUCGUGCCAGCAGCCGCGGUAAUACGAAGGGGACUAGCGUUGUUCGGAAUCACUGGGCGUAAAGCGCACGUAGGCGGAUUUGUAAGUCAGGGGUGAAAUCCCGGGGCUCAACCUCGGAACUGCCUUUGAUACUGCGGAUCUCGAGUCCGAUAGAGGUGAGUGGAAUUCCUAGUGUAGAGGUGAAAUUCGUAGAUAUUAGGAAGAACACCGGUGGCGAAGGCGGCUCACUGGAUCGGUACUGACGCUGAGGUGCGAAAGCGUGGGGAGCAAACAGGAUUAGAUACCCGGGUAGUCCCUGAGCGGGCUGGCAAGGCGCAU